GAUGAACGCUGGCGGCGUGCCUAAUACAUGCAAGUCGAGCGAACGGACGAGAAGCUUGCUUCUCUGAUGUUAGCGGCGGACGGGGGAGAAACAGGUGGAAACCUUCCUUAUAUGACUGGGAUAAUUUGGGGAAACGUUGGCUAAAACGGAAAAAUCUUUUGAUCCUAAUGGUUCAAAAGUAAAAGACGGUCUUGUGGUCACUUAUCGCUGGUUCCGCGCUGUAUUGUCUAGUUGGUAAGGUAACGGCUUACCAAGGCAACGAUGCAUAGCCGACCUGAGAGGGUGAUCGGCCACACUGGAACUGAGACACGGUCCAGACUCCUACGGGAGGCAGCAGUAGGGAAUCUUCCGCAAUGGGCGAAAGCCUGACGGAGCAACGCCGCGUGAGUGAUGAAGGUCUUCGGAUCGUAAAACUCUGUUAUUAGGGAAGAACAUAUGUGUAAGUAACUGUGCACAUCUUGACGGUACCUAAUCAGAAAGCCACGGCUAACUACGUG
rnacentral:rRNA from 1 species